rnacentral:sRNA from 1 species
UUCACCUGAAGGUGUUAGUGGGUGAGAACCACCGUUGGUUCGACUAAAUUGCCGGGAGCAAUUUAGAACGCCUGUUUUAUAGGCGGCCCGAAGGGCGGAGGGCAGGAGCCCGGAGUAAUCCACUCGUGCCUACCA